UAGACUGUAGCUUAAGAGAAAGCAUCUCACUUACAAUGGGAGGAUCACUGUUUGGUGCUGGCUAA
rnacentral:tRNA from 1 species